CAGGACGCCCAGUUAAAUUUCAUUUUCAGAUAAACAAUGGAUAAUUUGUAGUACGAGUCCCAUGGAGUAUUUGGGACAUACUUAUAAUAAAAAGAUAUCUGUCAUUUACUUGAGAUUCAAAUUUAUCUGGGAGUCCUG
rnacentral:miRNA from 1 species